AAGUCGUAACAAGGUCUCCGUAGGUGAACCUGCGGAGGGAUCAUUACAAGUGACCCCGGUCUAACCACCGGGAUGUUCAUAACCCUUUGUUGUCCGACUCUGUUGCCUCCGGGGCGACCCUGCCUUCGGGCGGGGGCUCCGGGUGGACACUUCAAACUCUUGCGUAACUUUGCAGUCUGAGUAAACUUAAUUAAUAAAUUAAAACUUUUAACAACGGAUCUCUUGGUUCUG
rnacentral:misc_RNA from 2 species